UUUUUUUUUUUUUCUUUUUUUUGAAACAGUCUCACUCUGCAGCCCAGGCUGGAGCACAUGGCGUGAUCUUGGCUCACUGCAACCUCCGCCUUCUGGGUUCAAGUGAUUCUUCUGCCUUAGCCUCCCGAGUAGCUGGGAUUACAGGCACCCGCCACCACGCCCGGCCAAUUUUUGUAUUUUUAGUAGAGACGGGGUUUCACCAUGUUGGCUAGGCUCGUCUCGAACUCCUGACUUCAUGAUUCGCCUGCCUCGGCCUCCCAAAGUGGCUCAUGGCGUGAGCCACUGUGCCCUGCCGCAAGUGGAUCAUUUGAGGUCAGGAGUUUGAGACAAGCCUGGCCAACAUGGUGAACCCCAUCUCUACUAAAAAUACAAAAGUUGUCCAGGUAUGAUAGCGGGUGCCUGUAUCCCAGCUACUCGGGAGGCUGAGGCAGGAGAAUCACUUGAACCUGGGAGGCAGAGUUUGCAGUGAGUUGAGAAUGCACCAUUGCACUCCAGCCUGGGUGACAGAGCAAGACUGCGUCUCAAAACAAACUAAACAAACAACAACAACAAAAAUGAUGACUAACAUUCCUUAAGGUUUUACCACAUGCCAGAUACAGUACCAGCACCAAGCUGGUACUUAGAUGCAUUAUCUCGGUCAAUUUUUUUCAACAGCACUAUAAGUAACAGCUUUAAAAGCUCUGUUACUUUCCUCAUUUUACAAAUGAAGAAACUGAGAUUCCAAGAGAUUAAGUAACUUCCUCAGGAUCACAUGGCUUAUAAACUGUGGAGCAGGAUGGCUCCCAGGUUUGUCUUUGACUCCAAAGUCGCUGCUCUUAAUGAUUAAGGCACACAAGGGAAUCGCAAGCACUCUGAUAAAACUCCUGUGAAAGGAGCCCGAACCUGGCUAUGACUUGGUUGGAACUGAGGCACAGGUACGAUAGGACAUGGAGACAGGCCACAAUCAUACAUUCCAGUCCCCUCCACAAAACCACAGAGCUUGGAUGACAUGGACCCAGAUUUCCCUAGGACAGAACUUGAACCCUGUAUACAAUUCAGGUUCGUCUAUAGAGAGUUGUGCUGGGAAGGGCAGAUUAUAGGGGAUAACAUACGGGCCCAGGGAGGAAAAUCACCCACUGUAAGUGAGGA
rnacentral:lncRNA from 1 species